rnacentral:rRNA from 1 species
GAUGAACGCUAGCGGCAGGCCUAACACAUGCAAGUCGAGGGGUAGAACACUUCGGUGUUUGAGACCGGCGCACGGGUGCGUAACGCGUAUGCAAUCUACCUUGUACAGGGGAAUAGCCCAGAGAAAUUUGGAUUAAUGCCCCAUAGUAUAUAACCUUCGCAUGUUGGUUAUAUUAAAGUUCCAACGGUACAAGAUGAGCAUGCGUCCCAUUAGUUAGUUGGUAAGGUAACGGCUUACCAAGACGAUGAUGGGUAGGGGUCCUGAGAGGGAGAUCACCAGCACAGGUACUGAGACACGGACCAGACUCCUACGGGAGGCAGCAGUGAGGAAUAUUGGGCAAUGGGCGCAAGCCUGAACCAGCCAUGCCGCGUGCAGGAAGACGGUCCUAUGGAUUGUAAACUGCUUUUAUACAGGAAGAAACCCUCCCACGUGUGGGAGAUUGACGGUACUGUAGGAAUAAGGAUCGGCUAACUCCGUGCCAGCCGCCGCGGUAAAAC